rnacentral:rRNA from 1 species
UACGGAGGGUGCAAGCGUUGUCCGGAAUCACUGGGCGUAAAGGGCGCGUAGGCGGCUCGGUAAGUAGGGGGUGAAAUCCUGCGGCUUAACCGCAGGGCUGCCUUCUAAACUGUCGAGCUUGAGCACGGUAGAGGCAGAUGGAAUUCCCGGUGUAGCGGUGGAAUGCGUAGAGAUCGGGAAGAACAUCAGUGGCGAAGGCGGCCUGCUGGGCUGUUGCUGACGCUGAGGCGCGACAGCGUGGGGAGCAAACAGG